CUCCAAAAAAUAGAAGCCGAAAAGGAGAGAAAAGAAAUGGCACUAGCUGAAAAAAAGAGGCUAGCAUUGGAAGCUAUACGGUUGGAAGAAGAAAGACUAAUGGCGCGAUAUAAAGAUGUGUUCGAGAAAAUAGCAGCCAACCAAAUGGGAGACUUCCAUUGGAUUUCCCUAAAGAUGAGAAGUGAAAUGGCACUACUUGAAGAAAAGAGGCAAG
rnacentral:sRNA from 1 species